GCUUUGGAAAGAGACGCCAGCUGGUGCAGACUUGCUUUUGGAGGGCUGCUCAACAGCCAGAGGGCCAGCCUGGGCGUCGGAGGUAGAGUUUGAGGUCCUUAGCUGCCUCAGGAUGGAAGUUGGGGGUUGGAUGUGGGCACAGUGGAUCAGAACUUUUCUGCAAAGUCCCGACUCCGGCCCGUCAGAAGAUUCCUGAAGCCAGUCGAACGGAGAGGACUUUGAAGAUUCCGAGGACCUGGAAGAAGGUGGAGCCAUGAGAUGGAAGGAGCCUGGGGCCCUGAGCUGGAGCAGAGCCUUUCCCAACGCCGAUGCACAAUGGAGGGGAAAGAUUCCUGACAGACACAAAGGCAUUUUUGCCCUAAGCACCUUCCAAGGGGGAUCCUUCUGAGGGGCCAUGGUCGCCGUAUCCUCCUUUGUCACCCGCUGUCUGAGCGCCCAUCACAUGGCACCAUCACCGGGGAGAAGCAGUGAGACGGACCUUGCGCUCCUGGAGCUUCCAGGUGCUGCCCUGACCAGCUUGCUCCUUGUCUGUCUGAUCGCCCCUCGCCGAUAGCUUUGCCUGGCCAAUCCCUACUGCUCUGUACAACCGAUGCCAACUCUUCUGUGAAGCAACCCUCAGCCCCGAUCCAGAUGGCAGAGACCCUGCUCCGGGGUCACCAGAUCUCCUUGCAGCCCCCAUACAGAAGAGACGUAAACUGAAGAGAAAAUAAAACUAGACAGCACACGGGGAAGCCGACACUUACAAAAAGGAAGACACUGCAGUUUGCAAACUUUGCAGAUACCAGCAGAGGGAGAAAAACACGCGAGACUGCUGAUAACCUCAUGUGGAGAAUUAAACUCCAACUAGACAAAGGCGGAAUCGGAAUACGGAGUGGCCUGGCUCUGCAUGGAGGUCACCCGGGCUGGAUUUCAGUCCAAUGCCACGGCAAAAGUUCCGUUGACGGUUAUUUAGCUCCUCAGAGACUCUGUUUCCUCAACUGAACAACGGAGCUAAGAAUGCCUACCCCCACAGGGCUGCUGAAGGCGCCACUCAAUGGAGUUCAGGCCGUUCUCCAUGGGCAGAGAGAUGUUGCAGCGCCCGAUGGUGGGGGUGAUGGUGCCCGCCAGGACGUGGGGCUCGCUGUGGAAGCUGACACCCAUCCCAUUGGCAUACAUCACCCUCAGGGUACCGUUAUUACAGAGCUGGUAGCUGUUCCUCACUUGAUCUGGAGACAUGGAAGGUCAGCUCCACUGCAAAUCCAGUCUUGGUUGGGUUCUUCAAGAAAAGAAACAGAAAAAGCAACCUUCCUGCCUGUCAUGUGUCUGUCUCUACCAGGAUGCCACCUCCACUCGAGAGAAAUCAUCUGAAGACUCAAACAGCACGAGGUAGACGGAGCCAUUGGGUGCUGAUAACACGUGCUUAUCUUCUUCCCAAAUGGACUCUACAGCAGUCGGUCAGAAUUCUGACCUUUUUUUCCCCUUUCUCAAAGUUCCAGGAAGGGUGAGGCAGAGACGCCUGUUACAGGUAGGCUGCUUCCUGAUCAGGCAAAGGAGCCCAGCUGGUCUGGCCUCGGAUUUGCUGGCUUUUGGGGUUGUGAGCCCGUGUGUACCUGUCACUCCUGUGACUGCAGCCGUCGUGCAGAAAGACAAACAUCUACAUCAUUAACCAUCUGGCAGAGCAGAAAUAGAGUCAUUGAAACAGGCUCUGUCGUGGGAUAACAGUCCAGAAAUGUCACCAUUUAUCUACUGAGAGGACACUUUUAGCCUCUGACGAGGGGCUGGCCCACUGACAUUCUAUCUUAAUUAAAAGGAAACCUAAUCUGCACAA